rnacentral:rRNA from 1 species
GACGAACGCUGGCGGCGUGCCUAAUACAUGCAAGUCGAGCGAAGUUUUUCUGGUGCUUGCACUAGAAAAACUUAGCGGCGAACGGGUGAGUAACACGUAAGGAACCUGCCUCAUAGACUGGGACAACUAUUGGAAACGAUAGCUAAUACCGGAUAACAGUAUUUCUCGCAUGAGAGAUAUUUAAAAGUUGGUUAUGCUAACACUAUGAGAUGGCUUUGCGGUGCAUUAGCUAGUUGGUGGGGUAAAGGCCCACCAAGGCGACGAUGCAUAGCCGACCUGAGAGGGUGAUCGGCCACACUGGGACUGAGACACGGCCCAGACUCCUACGGGAGGCAGCAGUAGGGAAUCUUCCGCAAUGGGCGAAAGCCUGACGGAGCAACGCCGCGUGAGUGAAGAAGGAUUUCGGUUCGUAAAGCUCUGUUGUUAGGGAAGAAUGGAUAUGUAGUAACUAUACAUGUAAGAGACGGUACCUAACCAGAAAGCCACGGCUAACUACGUG